AUCGGUUUUAAGGGGAGCUGAGAGGGAAAAGCUCGGCUGAGAGUAGGCACUUAAAGAUAUCCCUGUGCCUUGACCCUUUGAACCUGAUCCGGGUAAUGCCGGCGAAGGGAGGAGAAAGAGAAUCAAG
rnacentral:ncRNA from 2 species